rnacentral:lncRNA from 1 species
GGCCCGUUACGGGGAGCCCCGGGACACUCGGGGGUAAGUGACGAAAAAAAAGCUGCCCGUCCAUAGAUAGGACGGGAGCAAAUCUGCUCGUCCCUAGGCAGAUAGGGCGAGAGGAAAAAUGGCCAUUUCGAGAAAAUGGAGAAGAUUGAUACAGUAUGUUUGUGUCUUGUUUUGUCUUAAAAUGUUGUAUUGUCUUUGUGAUGAAAAUAUGGAAGGGGUGAGAAGUAAAUUACUAAGGGAAGAAGGCACCCCAGUGGAACCAAGAAUAGUUAGGGCAUGUGUUGAUAAGAGCCCAGGAACUCUAGUCAGAAAGAAAAAGAAAGUUCAGAAGAAGAAGGAUUAUCAGGAAAAAAGUUGCAGCAAAAGGCUAUUACUGAAUACUUUUCGUUACCGGAGGGUGCGUGAAGCGGAGAGGCGGCUGCCGAGUGUGCAAGCCGGUCACAGCGCAGCAAGGAUUUUCCAAGAGGCGGCGGCGACUGGCCCUUCCCCGCCUCCUGGCCGGGGAGCUGGCUCUUCCACUGCCGCGAGCCCAAAUCUAGACCUGACCUGGAGGCACA